ACGGUUCACAGCUGUACAUAUCUGUGGUGGUUUCAUCUGAUGGAGAAGAAAAUCAUGACGUCAGUGAUUUUCAGGUCGGGAGGCCGGAGCUGAAGAAAGAGGCCCGAGUUCCCAAUUGAAAUUCCGAGUUGGAUGACCGUUCAAAUCAAUUGUUUUCAGUCGGAGCUCGUUUUUUYCCGAGGUCCCAGUUGUUUUAACGCACUGAAGUCGGAAGUCUGAGAUUUCCGAGUUCUCAGUUGUUUGAACGCGGCAUYAGUCUAUUGAAAAAUCUGAAGUUUUGACGUCACACCACAAUUUUCCCCAGGCGGAUUAAAGAUGGCGCCGCAUCAUGUUCUAAGGUGCUGUCAGCGGAGUUUAUCUUGGAUACCUGUUAUUUUCAUAAACCUUGUCGUUGGCUGGUCUUAUUAUGCAUACGUCGUUGAACUCUGUAUCUUAACAAUCCCAAAUAAUGCAGAAAAAAUAUCAUACCUAGUUGUCUUUCACCUGUUCUUCAUUAUGUUCAUCUGGUCCUACUGGAAGACUAUCUGCAGCAGGCCCGCCAACCCCUCU